GUCUAUGGCCAUGCUACCUUGAACAAGCCCAAUCCCAUCUGAUCUCGGGAGCUAAGCAGGGUCAGGCCUGGUUAGUACUUGGAUGGGAGACCACCUAGGAAGAACAGGUGCUGUAGGCA
rnacentral:rRNA from 1 species